GACUUAAAAGAUGCCUUCUUUGCCAUCCCGCUGGCCCCACAGAGCCAGGCACUGUUUGCAUUUGAAUGGGCCGAUCCUGAAGAGGGAAAAGCUGUACAGCUCACCUGGACACGACUCCCCCAUGGAUUCAAAAACUCCCUUACUCUUUUUAAUGAAGCCCUGCACCAGGAUUUAGAACCAUUUCGAAUCUCCAAACCACAGGGAACUCUGUUGCAGUAUGUUGAUGAUAUCUUGCUGGUGGCCCCCUCUUGUUCAGAAUGCCCGAGUGCCACCAAGGAACUCUUGAGUCUUCUGCAAAAACUGGGAUACCGAGUAUCAGCCAAAAAAGCGCAGAUCUGUCACACUGCGGUCACUUAUUUAGGUUACAACAUUAAAAAAGGUAAGCGCUAUCUCGGUGAACAAAGAAUUCGUGCUAUACUCGAUAUUCCUCAGCCUAAAACUCGCAAACAAGUUCACGAGUUCCUGGGGGCAGCAGGCUACUGCAGACUAUGGAUACGUGGCUUUGCUGAACUGGCAGCCCCUUUGUAUGCCACUCUCAAGGGGUCUCUGGAGUCCUUCACAUGGGGGGGAGACUCAAACUAAAGCCUUCCAAGCUUUAUGAGAGGCUCUCAUGACCCCACCGGCCUUGGCCCUGCCAGGUCCCACUAAGCCAUUCCAUUUGUUUGUAGCUGAGAAAGGGGGUGUAGCCAAGGGAGUUCUGACUCAGCACCUGGGACCUUGGCGCUGACCAGUGGCCUGUUUAUCCAAAAGGCUAGACCCAGUUGCUUCCGGGUGGCCCACAUGCGUUCGACAGAUCGCUGCCACCACGCUACUAGUCAAAGACCCAGAUAAACUAACCCUGGGACAGAUGUUGCCUGUUAUGGUGCCCCAUGAAGGAGGCCUUACUGCGGGCUCCACCAGAACGGUGGCUAUCAAAUGCUCGGAUUACCCAGUAUCAGGCAUUGCUGCUCGACCAGCCCCAAUACGUUUUUGUGCCCCCAAAGCCUUAAACCCAGCUACUUUGCUGCCCAAAGGACUAGGUCCCCCUCUACAUUCUUGCCCAGAGACCUUAGCGACAGUUUCGUCCCUCUGCUCCGAUCUCACGGACGUGCCCCUACAGGAUCCUGAUAUCAACAUGUUUUCAGACAGCAGUUUUGUGUUUCAAGGGCAAAGGCAUGCCGGUGCUGCAGUUACGACAGACCGCGAGGUUCUAUGGCAAUAGACCCUUCCCCCAGGAACAUCAGCCCGGUGCACAGAGCUCAUUGCACUAACUAAAGCCCUUGAAACUUGGUAAAAACAAGCCAGUUAAUAUUUAUACAGACAGCCGCUAUGCCUUUGCAACUGUGCAUGUGCACGGGUCCAUCUGUCAAGAGCGUGGCCUCCUCACAGCAGAGGGCAAGGACAUCAAAAACAAAGCUGAAAUUCUAGACCUUCUAACAGCCAUCUAACCUGCAAGUCUCGAGAUCAUUCACUGCCCUGGACAUCAAAAAGGCAACUCCCUAGAGGCAUUCGGAAACCGCCUGGCUGACACGGGCAGUCUGGGAAAGCUGCCCUAACUGAAAGUAAAAGUGCUUUGGCACUACCGAUCUUGAUAGACCCCCUGCUUCCACCGGAGCCCAAUUACACGCCUAAAGAUGUGGAGUGGAUUUCAAAAAAAGGAGGAAGUAUGAUACCGGGACAAAAGUGGUUUCAGGAUCCUGAAGGAGACUUAGUUUGGGUCAAGAGGCACGAGCCUAAACCCCUGGAGCCACGCUGGAAAGGACCACACACUGUGAUCCUGACUACACCAAUGGCCAUGAAGAUAGAUGGUGUCCGAACCUGGAUUCAUCACUCUCAGGUUAAGAAAAACUGCGCGGAGGUGGGAACACCCAGGACUAAUACGGGACCAGAGAACGAACAGUGAUGGAAGGUUAAAAAGAAUAAUAAUAGUCUGGGUUUGUAUAAUAAGCUUGGGAGACUGUGCGGAACUGCACCCCUUGUCUUUUUGGCCAUACCAGUGGGAACUCAGACACUGUCACAGGGAAGGUGGUAACAUCUAACGCCUCUCGUACUAUGCCUUGUUUCUUGUUCGACCUGUGUGACCUGGUAGGAGAAGAAUGGGGUUGCAAACCUGGGCAAGAGCUCUCGGAAACAUUGGGGAGAACAAUUGUGGUUGUGGAAAUAGGGCACUAGAGCGAAAUUUGGCUAAGAUGCAGACAGAAAAAAUGAAUGUGAAGGAGAGGGUCAAUACCACUGUGCCAAAUGGGGUUGUGGGAUGCUAGCCCCCUGGUUAACAGGACGGGACAUUGACCCCCUAAUUACUCUCCUUAGAACCCCGAACCCCCAAUGUGAGGCCCAAGGAAAAUGUAACCCAACACCAGCUCAUCUAUUUUUUCCUCAUUCUGAGAUACUGGGCACACUGGGGCCUCCGAAUGUAUGAUGUCAUUGUGCCCUUGGGGUUCACGACCAAUUUUAACCCUAGAGGACCUCCAAGGGCAGGGUUGGUGCAUACUGUGUCAUGCCAACAAUUCCAGAUGAAUUCGAGACACUCUCAGUUUGGUAAGGAACAAUCUUAGAGCCAGGGAACGUGCCAGGGAGGCCAGCAAUAAUUGGUAUCACUCUUGGUCCCCCUGACUCACAUCGCUGCUCACCACCAUAGCCGGGCCACUACUGUUGUUACUUCUCGGGUUAACUAUCGGCCCGUGCAUUAUCAGUUGGUUAGUACAGUAUGUCAAGAGGCGAGUUGGUGAAAUAAAAAUUAUGAUUAGGUCCAACUAUGUCCCCUUAGUUCCUAAUGAUGAAUCAAGGGAUUGAUUCAUGGACAAGAAAAGGGGGAAAUGUAAGGGUUAAAUUGUAGUGUAGGGCUAACCUGUAGCCUUAAGAAAGAAGAGUUUUGUUUUAACACUAUAGGUUAAGAGGUAACAGCCUUAUCCUAUCAAUCAAGGGAUGUGAUUAGUGUUUGAUUGGAUUGGGGCAAGGGCCUGUUUGAACUGUUUCCACCUGGGCACUAUUCCUUUGUUCUGUUCCCAGGUGAUAAGACGAUGUGGUCAGCUAUAAAAACCCUGUACCCCGGCUGUUCGGGACCACACUCUGGUCAAGAGUGUAUGUCGGGACCGAUCAGUUUGCCUUGCCUCUCAUUGCAAUAAACUUUGUUGUGACUGUCA